rnacentral:rRNA from 1 species
AUUGAACGCUGGCGGAAUGCUUUACACAUGCAAGUCGAGCGGCAGCGCGGGGCAACCUGGCGGCGAGCGGCGAACGGGUGAGUAACACAUCGGAACGUGCCCAGACGUGGGGGAUAGCCCGGCGAAAGCCGGAUUAAUACCGCAUACGAUCUAAGGAUGAAAGCGGGGGACUCGCAAGGGCCUCGCGCGUUUGGAGCGGCCGAUGGCAGAUUAGGUAGUUGGUGGGGUAAAGGCUUACCAAGCCUGCGAUCUGUAGCUGGUCUGAGAGGAUGAUCAGCCACACUGGGACUGAGACACGGCCCAGACUCCUACGGGAGGCAGCAGUGGGGAAUUUUGGACAAUGGGCGCAAGCCUGAUCCAGCCAUUCCGCGUGCAGGACGAAGGCCUCGGUUGGUAACGUAG